AGAGUUUGAUUCUGGCUCAGGAUGAACGCUGGCGGUAUGCUUAACACAUGCAAGUCGAACGGAACUAUACGUAGUUUAGUGGCGGACGGGUGAGUAACGCGUGAGAAUCGGCCCUCAGGUUGGGGACAACCAUUGGAAACGAUGGCUAAUACCGAAUAAGCCGAAAGGUGAAAGAUUAAUUGCCUGAAGAUGAGCUCGCGUCUGAUUAGCUAGUUGGUAGGGUAAAGGCCUACCAAGGCGUCGAUCAGUAGCUGGUCUGAGAGGACGAUCAGCCACACUGGGACUGAGACACGGCCCAGACUCCUACGGGAGGCAGCAGUGGGGAAUUUUCCGCAAUGGGCGAAAGCCUGACGGAGCAAUACCGCGUGAGGGAGGAAGGCUCUUGGGUUGUAAACCUCUUUUCUCAGGGAAGAAAAAAAUGACGGUACCUGAGGAAUCAGCAUCGGCUAACUCCGUGCCAGCAGCCGCGGUAAUACG
rnacentral:rRNA from 1 species